GCCUGUCAGCUAGCGGAAGGGAUGUUUAUUUAUCUGGAAUAGAUAAUGGUACAAAUGGUAUCGGAUGUAUUUGUUCCGUUAGUUUAGUUCCUUAUAAUCAGGAACAAGGGGACAUUGAAAUAAGGAAUAUAACCACUACCUCCAACCUGUGUGACUAUUCAUUAUAUUCUGUAUAUAGAAAUAGUAGUAAAAGGUUGUAUUCGUGUGGUGAUAAUUUAAAUGGACAUAGAUUUGAUUUGAAACCUAUGGAAACUGUGAGAUUACAUAUGGGGGCAGGUACUUAUAAUGGUGCUGGAUUUCCUUUUUGUCUUCUGUUUAGUGAUAGAGGUUCUGAAAUAAAACUAGAGUGUAGGACUACACCACAGUCAACAACAACAACAACCAAUACGUCACCAACAACAUCAACAUCCAUGAAAUCUUCCAGCACAAAAUAUUUCAUGACGACAAGUUAUGACACUCAAAAUAUACCAAUCUCCAGUACAAGGAGAAAUGAAGAUACGACUGAACCACAACCACACGAUAGUGAUUCUGAUCGAUUGAUUGCUAUAAUAAUUGGUUCAAUUCUAGCUGUUCUGAUUGUGGUAGCUUUAGUUAUUAUAAUUGUCUGUUUGGUGAAAAGACGAAAGAAAGAUGUCAUAUAUGAAACGCCACGACAACCACAACAGAGUUCACAUAUCUAUAUGGAUUUAAAUGUUGAACCCGGUAACAGUGGAACGAAACAAAACAACAUUUAUGUGAACAGCGUGGUGAUUUAAAAAAUAUAUAUAUUGACUUUUAGUAGAUGGGAAUAAUUGGGACUAAGUCUUCACCAGGAUAAUAUUACAGGUUUCAACAACUUGUCACUCAAAAAGUGAUGUAUUGCUUUUAAAAUGACUACGCAAAGCAUGUGUUCUCUAUGACAGAAACUAAUGAAAUAUGGCGUAAUCGUGCUGAUUCACAAACCAUUAAAUCCUCUAUGUACUCUCAUUACAACGAUGUGUAAAACUGAAUGGCGACUUUUCAGAUGCGUUCACAAAAAUGAAAUGAAAUGGGGUUUAACGUCCUACUGUUUUGCUCCGAACUGGGCUAAUGAAGACGGGCAUGCGCCAUACAGUGUGCUAUGAGGGAAAUUUUGCCCGAACAGCGGCACUACGGCUUACUCUUAUAUCGAAUUCCAACUGUCAAGGGAUCUUUUACGUGCACGCCAAUGUGUACACGGGACCUCGGUUUUUCGCCCCAUCCGAACGAAUGUUUUUAAU